CCAUGCUUUCAGCACUACUGGCAAGCAAAGUGUUCACUGAUGAAUGAACAAUUACAUUUACCCACAGACUGAAAUAUGAUGUUAUUUUGUUUUGACUGAAAUUCCAACUCACUGUGAGAAUACUGUGAAAAAAAUCAUGAGAAGUAUCCUCAUAGGUGAGUCUUUUCACACAUCUGCACUAGUGAAUAUCUGAAUUUUAAAAGCCACUCCAGACCUACAUAGGUGAUGAACGAUGUGUACUUGAAAACAGUACACUCUUGCACAGCUGUCCCUGGAGCUUCCCCGUGGAGCUGUUAAACUUGCCCUCCGCUGGCUGUUUUCCACAAAGUAAUAUGGUUACAUAGAUUCACGGCUCAUGGCAAUGUUUCAUUAAGACAGUUCUUGAUGGCCGCUCCACACCUUUCUCACCACAUCUCACAGGCUGCCCUGCUGAGCCAGGUCUCCCUGGAACCCGGGGCUCCUGCGCAGGCCCCCAUUUUGCUCCAGAACACCCAGGAAGGCGGGGCUUGGGCUGGAAUGGGGACACCGAUUACCCUCUGUUCAGGCCUUUGGUGCCAGCUGAGGUCGAUACUGGUGCCAGGAUCGAGACUGUGCCCAUCCCAUCGAGAGCGGGCAGAUGUGGGGGCGCACUGGACCGGGCCUCCCAGGCUGACACCCAUUCGCAGCAGCCUGAGCCUAAUCCGCCACUGCUCGCCUUCCUCCGACGUCUCCACCUAAACCAUCCUUCUGCACAUUGUGACCCAUCACUCCGCCCUUUGUCCA
rnacentral:sRNA from 1 species